rnacentral:rRNA from 1 species
GCAUGUCUAAGUAUAAACAAAUUUGUACUGUGAAACUGCGGACGGCUCAUUAAAUCAGUUACAAUCUACUUGAUCGUAUACUUUACUCGGAUAACCCUAGUAAUUCUAGAGCUAAUACGUGCAAAAAGCCCCGACUCUCUGAUGUGUGAAAGCAUGUUGGAAGGAAAGGGUGUAUUUAUUAGGUACAAGACCACACGGGCUUCGGCUCGGUAUCGACGAUUCAUGAUAACUAAACGAAUCGCAGGCACACGCCGGCGAUGUUACAAACGAGUUUCUGACCUAUCAACUUUAGAUGGCAGAGUAGGGGUUUGCCAUGGUGACAACGGGUGACGGGGAAUUAGGGUUCGAUUCCGGAGAGGGAGCCUGACUUCUCUGAAAUCGUUAUGAACUCGGAACGCGUUCGACUCGUAGCUCGGGGGAGUACGGAAGUCAAGGAUGUAGCUCGAGGGAGUACAUCGUCUCACGGGCCAGUCUUUGGGAUGUUUUUGUCGUCGGUGUUGGGCUCGAUCCGGAUGAACGUAAUAAUACAGGAUACCACUGAUCUUGGUCGUCGACUCUUCGGAGGAAGCGAUCGGGGGACUGUGAAUGUGGUCCGUGGUUUAUGCGAUUCUUGGUCGGGGCUCGAUCGGAUGAACGUAAUAAGCUGGAUACCGCUGAUCCCGACCGUAACUCUUCGGAGGAGGCGAUCGGAGGAAUGCGAUAGUGGUCCGUGGUUUAUGUGAUUCUUGGUCGGGAGUUGGUUGUAUGCUCUUUUGGCAUUAAGUAACACUUGAUUCCCCUGGUGAGUAAGUGCGGUCUUUAGGUCGGGAAACCGGUCGGGAUUGCGCGAGUUCUUAGCCUUCGUCCGUCGGACUAGGCUAUGCUACGGCACCAGAAAGGUCGCGUCUACUUCUUGUCAGCUUCACGACGAGUGGCCUUAAAACCCCCGAUGUUUCCAUUCGGAUUUCCGAUAAUGGUUAAGCAUCGGACCGGUUGCCUACUACGNUCUUGAACGGAGACUAGACCGUGUGCAGAAUUAAGACCUCUAGGACGAGUAGUUAACUACUUGUACCCUNGGGGANUUUUUUUUUGCCGUUAUUAUACCCCAAUUUCGUCGUCGGAAUGUCCCGGGGCUAGUUGCUAAUGAUCAGCGGCGACACCAUCAAAUUGUCCGGAAGUCCUUUGCACCCCCGACACCGCGGUCGACCGAAAAGGUCGGCGCAGCAGGAGGCGUCAUGGCUUCUGGAUGGUAAAAGAUCGGGGGAUCGAGGUAACCGGCAGCCAAAGCCUCUAAUGGUUGCAGUUCACAGACUAAAUGUUGGUGGGUUUUCAGACGAGGGGAACCUAAGAUAUAGUCGGCCCAUCUGCGAAAGCAGAUUUGUCGCGAGUAGUUCGAUCGGGAUCAUUCAUCAGACCGACGGACGAGAGCUCGGCAAGGUGUAUGAUGUAGCUCGAGGGAGUACAUCGGGAAAGUACAUCGGAUCAGCGGAGAAACGGCUACCACUUCCAAGGAAGGCAGCAGGCGCGCAAAUUACCCAAUACCGAUUCGGUGAGGUAGUGACAAGAAAUACCAAUGUAGGACACAACGUGUACUACGUUUGGAAUGAGUACAAUUUAAAAACCUUAACGAGGAACAAUUGGAGGGCAAGUCUGGUGCCAGCAGCCGCGGUAAUUCCAGCUCCAAUAGUGUAUAUUAAAGUUGCUGCGGUUAAAAAGCUCGUAGUUGGAUUUCGGAUCGCGCGGAGUCAGAGCCCAUCCUUAGGGGUGCGUGCUCGACCCCCGCUUCCUACCUUCCGGUAACGCGUGGUCUCUCUUCACGGGGGGGCUACGAGGUUCCGGAUCGUUUACUUUGAAAAAAUUAGGGUGUUCAAAGCAGGCGUAACUUGCAUUCGAAUACAUUAGCAUGGGAUAAUAGAAUACGACUUUGGUCUUAUUUUGUUGGUUUCUAAGGCCGAAGUAAUGAUUGAUAGGGAUAGUUGGGGCCGCUCGUAUUGAGUUGUCAGAGGUGAAAUUCUAGGAUUUACUCAAGACGAACUAAUGCGAAAGCAUUCGGCAAGGAUGUUUUCAUUAAUCAAGAACGAAAGUUGGGGGAUCGAAGAUGAUCAGAUACCGUCGUAGUCUCAACCAUAAACUAUGUCGACCGAGGAUCCGGUAGCGUUACAUGGAUGACCUUCCAGGCACUCUGUGAGAAAUCACAAGUAUUUGGAUUUCGGGGGGAGUAUGGUCGCAAGGCUGAAACUUAAAGGGAUUGACGGAAGGGCACCACCAGGAGUGGAAUCUGCGGCUUAAUUUGACUCAACACGGGAAAACUUACCAGGUCCGGACACAGUGAGGAUUGACAGAUUGAGAGCUCUUUCUUGAUUCUGUGGGUGGUGGUGCAUGGCCGUUUUUAGUUGGUGGAGUGAUUUGUCUGGUUAAUUCCGUUAACGAACGAGACCUUGACCUAUUAAAUAGUGGUGCAAACUCGGUUCUUCCGAGCCGACCCUUCGGGGGAGGUGAGUGGAACCGUGAACGUUAGCAAUAUACUUCUUAGAGGGACUCUUCGCAUCUCUAGCGAAUGGAAGUUUGAGGCAAAAACAGGUCUGUGAUGCCCUUCGAUGUUCUGGGCUGCACGCGCGUUACACUGACGUAUGCAACGAGCUUUAUUCCUGGCCCGAUGGGGUUGGGUAAUCUUUUUAAAGUGCGUCGUGAUGGGGAUAGAACCUUGCAAUUAUUGUUCUUGAACGAGGAAUUCCUAGUAAUUGCAGGUCAACAACCUGCGAUGAUUACGUCCCUGCCCUUUGUACACACCGCCCGUCGCUCCUACCGAUGGUUGAACCGAUGAGGACUCGGGACAUUUGGGGAUCCGGUUGGCCGCAAGGUUGAUCGCCCUAGCUGGAACUUGUUCAAAUCUUUUAACUAGAGAAGAG